AUUGAGCCCAACCCAAUCUGAUGUAGCCGAGCCGAUUCAUAGAGGCCCAAAUCCCGAGAAGCCCAAAACCCGUGACCCGAGCCUGUGAGCCCAAUUCUGAGAACCCCUUUAGCCCGAGACCCGAACCCAGUUAUAACCCGAGCCCUGCAGCGAAGCCCAACUCCGAGACCCACUGAGCCCAAGACCGAAACCCAUAAGCCCGAGACCUUGGCCCAAGACUCCAAGCCCAUGACCCAGCAGUGACCCAACCCGCGAUCAACAAUGAUCCAGCCCGAGAUCCAUAAGCCCGAGACCCAUAAGCCCAUCAACCCGGAACCCCGACCCGCCGGCGACCCGCCGCCGGCAGUUUCUCCGGCGACUUUCCGGUGACCUUUCCGGCGACCAAAACUCACCGUUUCGCUGGAUGUUCGAGUGAAAAUCCUUAAUAUGAUGAAUUGAGACAGCACAAAAAGGACUAUGACUGUGCAGGCACAGACACUGACGAGUAUCAGGAUUAUCAGGAGCCUUAUGAUGAUUCUGGUUUCAUAGAUGAGACUGUCUAAAGUCUCCUUUUUAUGAUAGACUUGCUGAACAGUUUAUCUUCCAUGUCGUUAUUAGGUUUUAUUUUAUGUACUUUCUAGACAUCUUAUGCUUUAUUUUAUGGUUUGUAAUAUGACUACUAUUACAUAGAACGUGUGCCGUGGUGGUCCUUAUGUUAUUGCUUUUGUGUGUAUUUAUUUGUAAGACCUUUUAUUAUUAUUUUAAUGUAAGUUGAGGUAUUUAAUUUAAAGGCUCUAAUGUGUUAUUUAAUCCAAGCCUAUUGGAUAAAUUAUA